rnacentral:lncRNA from 1 species
GUCCCUGUUUGUUUCCAGAAGGUGCAGCAUGCAACUCCUGAAGGCAAGAGGCCUGCGAAGGCAUUCAGGACAGAACAGCCGUGCUGCAAAGAUGGUCAAUGUACCUAAAACCCGAAGAGCCUUCGGUAAGAAGUGUGGCAAGCAUCAGCCUCACAAAGUGACACAGUAUAAGAAGAGCAAGGAUUCCUUGUAUGCCCAGGGAAAGAGGUGCUAUGAUCGGAAGCAGAGUAGCCAUGGUGGGCAGACAUAGCCAAUUUUCUGGAAGAAGGCUAAGACCACAAAGAAGGUUGUGCUAAGGCUGGAAUGUGUUGAGCCUAACUGCAGAUCCAAGAGGAUGCUGGCCAUUAAGAGAUGCAAGCAUUUUGAACUGGAAGGAGAUAAGAGAAAG